rnacentral:rRNA from 1 species
AUGUUGUUUAGUUUGAUUCACUUUAUUUUGAAAGUUACUAAAAAUUUCAGAAAUUUUCAGAAAAAGAUGAAGAGGUUGUUCUUGAGGGGCUCUUCUAGCCAAAGCUCCAAGGAUAAACAAGCUAAGGAGAAAGAAAAUGCCAAGUAUAAUCUUCCUCGUGUAGCGGAAGUACGGCCGUGCGAAUGGCCUUGUGAUAAUUUCUUGAGAGCAGACAGGAUUUAUGAAGACUUUUAUUCUUUGGCUGAAAAUGUGGGCCUCACCGACUUCCUCCACGACCAUAUCGAACAGUAUCUCUUACUCACCAAUACUUUCGUGCAAAACUUUUACUAUUAUCCUAAGAAUUCACCACCUUCAGUAGCUUUUCAUUCAUAUGAUGAGGCUAAGGAAAUGUCAUUACGUAAUUUUUGCACGGUUUGUAGAAUACCCUUUGAUGGUAGCCUAGAUGAACCACAUCGUAAAGAUGUGGAUGGUUUUAUUGAUGUAGGGGAACCUAGGAAGGUUUCCGAUGCAAGAAUAACUAGCAUACAUUUUCCUGUUUUACGCUACUUUGUCAUAUUUGCUAGUCGAUGCUUAAUUGGUCACGGAAACUAUGGAAACCUCAGUGUUCCUGAUAUUAUUAUUCUAUUCCAUGCCUUAUUUUGUAUAACAUUUUUAGUAUGGGUGCCGUUAUUGCUAAACGACUAA